rfam:Schistosoma curassoni strain Dakar, Senegal genome assembly, scaffold: SCTD_scaffold0010028
AUCCAGCUGACGAGUCGCCAAUAGAACGAAACGUGCAUCCUGGAU